rnacentral:rRNA from 1 species
CAUAAGGUUUGAUUCCUGGCUCCCAGGAGUUAACCUUCGGUAUGCUUAACACAUGCAAGUCGAACGGGAUGCUUAGGCAUCUAGUGGCGGACGGGUGAGUAACGCGUGAGAAUCUGGCUCCAGGUCGGGGAUAACAGUUGGAAACGACUGCUAAUACCGGAUGUGCCGAGAGGUGAAAGAUUUAUCGCCUGGAGAUGAGCUCGCGUCUGAUUAGCUAGUUGGCGGUGUAAGGGACCACCAAGGCAUCGAUCAGUAGCUGGUCUGAGAGGAUGAUCAGCCACACUGGGACUGAGACACGGCCCAGACUCCUACGGGAGGCAGCAGUGGGGAAUUUUCCGCAAUGGGCGAAAGCCUGACGGAGCAAUACCGCGUGAGGGAGGAAGGCUCUUGGGUCGUAAACCUCUUUUCUCAAGGAAGAAGAAAGUGACGGUACUUGAGGAAUAAGCAUCGGCUAACUCCGUGCCAGCAGCCGCGGUAAUACGGAGGAUGCAAGCGUUAUCCGGAAUGAUUGGGCGUAAAGGGUCUGCAGGUGGAACUGAAAGUCUGCUGUUAAAGAGUUUGGCUUAACCAAAUAAAAGCGGUGGAAACUACAGAACUAGAGUGCGGUAGGGGCAAAAGGAAUUCCUGGUGUAGCGGUGAAAUGCGUAGAUAUCAGGAAGAACACCGGUGGCGAAAGCGUUUUGCUAGACCGUAACUGACACUGAGGGACGAAAGCUAGGGGAGCGAAUGGGAUUAGAUACCCCAGUAGUCCUAGCCGUAACGAUGGAUACUAGGCGUGGCUUGUAUCGACCCGAGCCGUGCCGGAGCUAACGCGUUAAGUAUCCCGCCUGGGGAGUACGCACGCAAGUGUGAAACUCAAAGGAAUUGACGGGGGCCCGCACAAGCGGUGGAGUAUGUGGUUUAAUUCGAUGCAACGCGAAGAACCUUACCAAGGCUUGACAUCCUGCGAAUCCUGGUGAAAGCUGGGAGUGCCUUAGGGAGCGCAGAGACAGGUGGUGCAUGGCUGUCGUCAGCUCGUGUCGUGAGAUGUUGGGUUAAGUCCCGCAACGAGCGCAACCCUCGUUUUUAGUUGCCAGCAUUAAGUUGGGCACUCUAGAGAGACUGCCGGUGACAAACCGGAGGAAGGUGAGGAUGACGUCAAGUCAGCAUGCCCCUUACGUCUUGGGCUACACACGUACUACAAUGCUACGGACAGAGGGCAGCGAGCCAGGGAUGGCAAGCGAAUCCAGAAACCGUAGCUCAGUUCAGAUCGAAGGCUGCAACUCGCCUUCGUGAAGGAGGAAUCGCUAGUAAUUGCAGGUCAGCAUACUGCAGUGAAUUCGUUCCCGGGCCUUGUACACACCGCCCGUCACACCAUGGAAGUUGGUCACGCCCGAAGUCAUUACCCCAACCGAAAGGAGGGGGAUGCCUAAGGUAGGACUGGUGACUGGGGUGAA